rnacentral:rRNA from 1 species
UCAUUACUGAAUUGUCAACAAGAGUUGUUGCUGGUCCCCAGAUGGGGGCAUGUGCACGCUCUGUUAACACAUCCACUCACACCCUGUGCACCCUCUGCAGUUCUAUGGUUGGGGGGGACCUGUCCUCUCCUGCUGUGGUUCUGCAUCUUUACAUACACACUGUAACAAAGUCUCAUGGAAUGUAUGCCGCGUUUAACGCAAUAAAAUACAACUUUCAGCAACGGAUCUCUUGGCUCUCGCAUCGAUGAAGAACGCAGCGAAAUGCGAUAAGUAAUGUGAAUUGCAGAAUUCAGUGAAUCAUCGAAUCUUUGAACGCACCUUGCGCCCUUUGGCAUUCCGAAGGGCAUGCCUGUUUGAGUAUCAUGAACACCUCAACUCUUCAUGGUUUUCUGUGAUGAGCUUGGACUUUGGGGGUCUUGCUGGCCUACAGGUCAGCUCCUCUCAAACGAAUCAGCUUGCCAGUGUUUGGUGGGCAUCACAGGUGUGAUAACUAUCUACGCCUUGUGAUUUUCCACCAGGUAACCCUUCAGCAAUGGAGGUUCGCUGGAGCUCACAGACGUCUCUCCUCAGUGAGGACGGCCCUUUGAAUGUUUGAUCUC